CCUACGGGUGGCAGCAGUGGGGAAUCUUGGGCAAUGGACGCAAGUCUGACCCAGCAACGCCGCGUGAGGGAAGAAGGCUUUCGGGUUGUAAACUUCUUUUCUCAGGGACGAAGAAAGUGACGGUACCUGAGGAAUCAGCGACGGCUGACUACGUGACAGCAGCCGCGGUAAUACGUAGGUGGCAGGCGUUCUCAGGAUUUAUUGGGUGUAAAGGGCGUGUAGGCGGGUGCGCAAGUCAGAUGUGAAAACUCAGGGCUCAAACCUGAGCCUGCAUUUGAAACUGUGUUUCUUGAGUGCAGGAGAGGCAAGCGGAAUUCCGUGUGUAGCGGUGAAAUGCGUAGAUAUACGGAGGAACACCAGUGGCGAAGGCGGAUUGCUGGACAGUAACUGACGCUGAGGCGCGAAAGCGUGGGGAGCAAACAGGAUUAGAUACCCUUGUAGUC
rnacentral:rRNA from 1 species